rnacentral:rRNA from 1 species
CUUGGUCAUUUAGAGGAAGUAAAAGUCGUAACAAGGUUUCCGUAGGUGAACCUGCGGAAGGAUCAUUACAGAGCGUGAGGUUCAGUCGUGGCAUCUUGCCGCGUGCUGGGCCGACCCUCCCACCCGUGUCGAUUUGUAUCUUGUUGCUUUGGCGGGCCGGGCUGCUCCAUCGCUGCCCGCAAGGACAUGCGUUGAGCGCCCACCGGCUUCGGCUGGAGCGCGUCCGCCAGAGACCCAACCAAAACUCAUGUUGUCUUUGCAGUCUAAGCUUUAUUAUUGAAUUGAUAAAACUUUCAACAACGGAUCUCUUGGCUCUGGCAUCGAUGAAGAACGCAGCGAAAUGCGAUAAGUAAUGUGAAUUGCAGAAUUUAGUGAAUCAUCGAAUCUUUGAACGCACAUUGCGCCCCUUGGUAUUCCGAGGGGCAUGCCUGUUCGAGCGUCAUAACACCCUCUCCAGCUGCCUUUGUGUGGCUGCGGUGUUGGGGCACGUCGCGGUGCGGCGGCCCUUAAAGACAGUGGCGGUCCCGGCGUGGGCUCUACGCGUAGUAACUUGCUUCUCGCGACAGAGUGACGACGGUGGCUUGCCAAAAGCCCUUUUUGUUCCAGUCACAUGGAUCAUAGGUUGACCUCGAAUCAGGUAGGAAUACCCGCUGAACUUAAGCAUAUCAAUAAGCGGAGGA